CCUACGGGAGGCAGCAGUGGGGAAUCUUGCGCAAUGGGCGAAAGCCUGACGCAGCCAUGCCGCGUGAAUGAUGAAGGUCUUAGGAUUGUAAAAUUCUUUCACCGGGGACGAUAAUGACGGUACCCGGAGAAGAAGCCCCGGCUAACUUCGUGCCAGCAGCCGCGGUAAUACGAAGGGGGCUAGCGUUGCUCGGAAUUACUGGGCGUAAAGGGAGCGUAGGCGGAUAGUUUAGUCAGAGGUGAAAGCCCAGGGCUCAACCUUGGAAUUGCCUUUGAUACUGGCUAUCUUGAGUACGGAAGAGGUAUGUGGAACUCCGAGUGUAGAGGUGAAAUUCGUAGAUAUUCGGAAGAACACCAGUGGCGAAGGCGACAUACUGGUCCGUUACUGACGCUGAGGCUCGAAAGCGUGGGGAGCAAACAGGAUUAGAUACCCUGGUAGUCCACGCUGUAAACGAUGAGUGNUAGUGUCGCAUNNANNNUGUGUGCGCNGCACGACAUAAGUACACUCCGCCGUCGGGAGGUACGGUCGGCGAGAAGUUAAACGUAACGUUAAAGAAAGUAGUUAGGCGUGAGAGNGCCGACGGACGACGACGAGGGAGGAGG
rnacentral:rRNA from 1 species